CAAUAUCAUCUCAGAAACGCGUGUGCUUCUCAAAACCUACAGCAGAGGACGACACUUUCCAUCUUUAUUUUAGAGCGUGGUCUACGUUGCUCUUCAUUGGAAGGGCAAACUGCAGUUUUAUGGUGAAGAUAAUGACACUGUCAUGUCAUUACGAGUUACUAGGGUGAUGAUCAUACGUAAUUAAUUACCCGAUGCGCACCAUGGGGACCAAAUAAAGGAUAAUUUCCAGAUAAAAAGUAUGCUGCUUGGACAUGAUGCCUAGGCAUUGCGACUCAAAGUCAGUAUCUGACCAAUUAAGGGUUUUGAGGACUGUUGAAUUUCGGGAGCUUCUGCAGGAUGAGGAAUAAAUUAGGCAGAUCAUCAGAUUCAGCCAAAAGUUUCAGGGGCUUCAGGGGGCAAAGGAGACUGUGUUGGUCUCCAACAGUAGAUUGGCAGAGACCAGUCUCUUUCAUGAGCCAGAUCUCAGCACUGGUAAACUAUGGUUAGCUAAGAAGUACCAGGAACUGGAGAAACUUACCAAUAUCAUCCAAGCCAAACAUAACCAGCUUGGCUCUCUCACAGAAAUUCACAGAUGGGAGAAUAUCCCUGGAGAAUUUUGUGGAGUCCUGUCAAAGAUCUUGUAAGGUCUACCAUGUCCGUCUGGUUCAUCAAGCCGGAACAGAAACCCCAAAGGCCCACUGAGAAUCACAAUAGUAGGGAGCCUCCAUCAGUUGACUUCCCCCUGAGCCCCCCUCCUAAUAUUUGCCAUGUUUUCUAUGGUCUCACCUCUGCUAUUAUUCUGCUUAACGUCUACCACUCCUUCAGCUCUGCUCCAGUCCACUGCCGGAUGGGUCCAUAUCAACCGCCCCUGAGUGACCACAUCAACAUUGCUAAACCUGAGGCCUACAGCCUUGCCUUUUGACACUGGCCAGCCUGUAGGCCUUAGAGUGUAUGGAAAGGGUCAUGCUCCCAGUUGGCCAGCCAGACCUGUACGUCUGCAGCGACUCAACAACAUAUAGCCUAGACAUCAUCAGCAGGACCCACUGCCACAUUGACACUGUUGGAUAGAAAGGGCAACUGUUACUCUUUGGACUAUAAUGAAUUUAUGUACUUUAUGAUUGUCUGUAAAAUAGCACCACAUAGUUGAAACAAGUUGAUUAAGAAGGGUGAAUAAAGACAACACCUUGUGGGUUUUGUUUUAUAUCCAGGCUCCCCUAAAACAUGUCAUUGUAACAUCAUACUGUAGGCAUCAAUGCUUUCUUGGGGUAGGAAACCCCUGAACUCACUGUGCCUCAGUGCAGUAGGUCACAAGGUGUACUUAAACUCUUCACCUAGCUACACUUGAUAGCUCAGAUCAUCCUCUCUCCACAGAGACUCCUGCUAAGGUCAGCCAAGGACCACGUCUGGAACUGUCAAACUGCAAGCUUUUUCAAGCCUCUAAAUCACACUUUCUCUAUAAUUUUUAUUACAUCCAAAACCAAUGUUGAUUCAUUGUUCCUAAAAUUCAUACUGAAAGCAUAGUUGCCUGAUUCCAUUGAAUGACUAACACUCUGCCUACCGUACUCAGUGGUUGUCGUUUGUUCCCCCAGUUAUGUGGAUCACCAGACCAAGGAUUCGCCUGAUCAGCCAUAAGGUUAGCCAGACUGCCAUCUAGCCUAAUCAAGCUCACUGCACUAGUUAGCUGUCAGAGAGAGGCCAGUGAGUUUACAGGAGCUCAUUAGUGAUGCAGUGUCACGUCCUGACCCUAGUAAGAUGUCAUUUUCUAUAGUAGAGUAGGUCAGGGUGUGUUUUGUGUUGUUCUAUGUUUUCUAUUUCUAUGUUUAAGUUCUAGUUUUUCUAUAUCUAUGUUGGGGUUGUUUCGGUUAAUCUCCAAUUGGAGGCAGCUGAUCCUCGUUGCCUCUGAUUGGAGAUCAUAUUUAAGUAGGGGUUUUCUUCCUGGGUUUUGUUUUCUAUUUAGUGUAUGUCACCUGACGGAACUGCUGUCGGUCGUUUUGUUUAAGUAUAUUCAUUAAAAGUAAAUAUGAGCA
rnacentral:lncRNA from 1 species